CAGUAACGCGUAGUCAACCUACCCUAUGGACGGGAAUAACCUCGGGAAACUGAGUAUAAUGCCCGAUAGAACACUAUACCUGGAAUGGUUUGUGUUCCAAUGAUUUAUCGCCAUAGGAUGGGACUGCGGCCUAUCAGUUUGUUGGUGAGGUAAUGGCCCACCAAGACUAUUACAGGUACGGGCUCUGAGAGGAGUGGCCCGGAGAUGGGUACUGAGACACGGACCCAGGCCCUAUGGGGCGCAGCAGGCGAGAAAACUUUGCAAUGUGCGAAAGCACGACAAGGUUAAUCCGAGUGGUUUCUGCUAAAGGAACCUUUUGUCAGUCCUAGAAACACUAACGAAUAAGGGGUGGGCAAGUUCUGGUGUCAGCCGCCGCGGUAAAACCAGCACCUCAAGUGGUCAGGAUGAUUAUUGGGCCUAAAGCAUCCGUAGCCGGCUCUGUUAGUUUUCGGUUAAAUCUGUACGCUUAACGUACAGGCUGCCGGGAAUACUGCAGAGCUAGGGAGUGGGAGAGGUAGACGGUACUCGGUAGGAAGGGGUAAAAUCCUUUGAUCUAUUGAUGACCACCUGUGGCGAAGGCGGUCUACCAAAACACGUCCGACGGUGAGGGAUGAAAGCUGGGGGAGCAAACCGGAUUAGAUACCCGGGUAGUCCCAGCUGUAAACUAUGCAAACUCAGUGAUGCAUUGGCUUGUGGCCAAUGCAGUGCUGCAGGGAAGCCGUUAAGUUUGCCGCCUGGGAAGUACGUACGCAAGUAUGAAACUUAAAGGAAUUGGCGGGGGAGCACCACAAGGGGUGAAGCCUGCGGUUC
rnacentral:rRNA from 1 species